CUCGGCCGGCGCCUUGCAGCCGGCUUAGAACGGGUGCGGACCAGGGGAAUCCGACUGUUUAAUU
rnacentral:miRNA from 12 species